rnacentral:rRNA from 1 species
GACGAACGCUGGCGGCGUGCUUAACACAUGCCAGUCGAACGGAAAGACCCUGCUUUUGUGGGGUGCCCGAGUGGCGAACGGGUGAGUAACACGUGAGUAACCUGCCCUUGACUUUGGGAUAACUUCAGGAAACUGGGGCUAAUACCGGAUAGGAGCUCCUGCUGCAUGGUGGGGGUUGGAAAGUUUCGGCGGUUGGGGAUGGACUCGCGGCUUAUCAGCUUGUUGGUGGGGUAGUGGCUUACCAAGGCUUUGACGGGUAGCCGGCCUGAGAGGGUGACCGGCCACAUUGGGACUGAGAUACGGCCCAGACUCCUACGGGAGGCAGCAGUGGGGAAUAUUGCACAAUGGGCGGAAGCCUGAUGCAGCAACGCCGCGUGCGGGAUGACGGCCUUCGGGUUGUAAACCGCUUUCGCCUGUGACGAAGCGUGAGUGACGGUAAUGGGUAAAGAAGCACCGGCUAACUACGUG